CUUCAGUAGCUGCUUAGACUCUAACGGUCUGCUCUACUCAAAACUAUCCAAUUUUUAACAUAUUCAUUAUUUUCGUAAUUUUUAAAUUUUAAUACUAUUGAUCAUUUUAAGAAUGAGCAGAAGCAGCUACUCAAAGUUAGUUUUUUAUUUUAAACUUUCCUUUACUUAACCAAUCACUUGAUAUUAGUAAAAUUGAAGUUUUUAUCCCUCAACACUUUCUUUUAAUACUGAUUAUUGUCUAUUAGUUCACAAUUAGAUUAAUGUCUUUUCAUUUUGUUCUUAAACAAAAUAGCAUGAAAUAAAAAAAAGAAACAAAAAUCAGGUAAAGAGAUUAGUUAGUAACAAAGUAAAGAAAAAGAUAAUAACCAGCUAUUCCUUACCAUUUUUUAUCAAUUUUUUCUAUACUUUUAUAUCCUAAAGAUAGAAGGAAUUUAGAUGAUUUUCUCCCAAUCCUUUUUGGUGGUAAACUCUUGAAAAAAAAGCUUUUUUUAAACUUUUAGCAUAUUUAGCUUUUUCUACAUUUUUUUAUACCAAGUGGAUUAGUAUAGUGGAUUUUUUGGAUUAUUAAUAUCAUUUGUAUUCUGGUGUUUUUUGGUGUUGUCUUUCAACUUUUCUAAAUAUGGAUUUUGUUUGAACACUUGCUGCCUUUUCUAUUGUGUGUUUGUGGUAAAGGAAUUUUCAGAUUCUCACUUCUUCCUCCCUCAAGUUUUCUAUUAAAUUACUACUAUUGAAUUCCUACCCUCUCGUUUUCCUUUUAACUUUAACAACUCUCCAUUCUUCAACCCUCUCAACUGUCAACGAAUGAAAUCUGCUCCAAAGUCAAAUGCUACAAUGAUUCACAACUAUUUGGAUUUCUCAUCAUGACUCAAUGGAAUAUGGUUUAAAUAUUUUCUAUAGUAAUCAUCCAUCCUUGGCCUGCUAGAAAUUCCUUUUUGAUCGUACAGCCAAAAAUUUCCUAAUGGUGCAAAAUAUUUGGAUGUUUUUUGUUUUUUUCAUACAAAAAAGCAUUUCUAAAGAAACACUGGAAGAAAAAAAAUGAACCAAAAGAGACGUUUUCUAUUCUUAAAUAUUGUUAAUACUUUUCUUAUAAUUGAAAAUUCAACUUUAUAGAUGGAAAGUUAUGUUUCGUCAAGAUCUACUUAGAGAUUUUUCUACUCCUCUUCCUCUCCAACCUUUAAAAAACACGUGCGUUAUGCAUUCCAAUUGAAUAUUAUCUUCAAUGCUUGAAACUAGCAAUGUUAAUUGAACGUAAAUAACGAAGUAUCGAAGCAUUGUUAAUAGCAGUUUUUUUUUUAUCCUAUCAAAAAUAAUAGGAUAAUUUUUUCUGCGAAGUCUAUUUUUAAUUGAACGUCCAUCUUUAAUGAACAUUCAAGAGAAUAUAGGAGAAUAUAUGCAAUAGUUUUUAUAUAAAAUAAAUUAUAGGGGCCGACAGAAAACGUCCCCAAGUGAGUUUUUUGAAAGCAAGAUUUCGGAUUGAAAAAUGGUUAGCAGGAGUAAAGUAGCUUUUGAUUUGUAGUUAGGGGGGUUCCAUCUAAGGGUUAGGGGUAAUCAAAAAGGUUAGAGAGACAAGGGCUAGGUUAGGGUUAGGGUUAAACCAUGAAUUCGGGGACGUUUUCUGUCGUAUCCAAAUUAUAGAUACUAUGCAAUAAAUAAUUUGUUCUAUAUUUAAUAGCAAAAUCCGUCCGUUGUCUGCUUGCCAAUUUGGAUUUAAAAUGUUCCAUUUAAUUGGAAAAGUUAAAAUGAUAUGAUAAUACAACUAGAUUCAAACACAAUCUUCUUGGUAAUAAUUUUCAAAGCAGCCUUAAUUUAAAUUUAAAGCAAAAGGCGAAUGUUAAUAAAAGCUUUAUAAAUCAAAUAUUUGCAAAUAGAGUCGACAAUUGAACGUUAACAACUCUGGCUUGUGAAAUACUGUAUAUCUUUUUUUAAAUGUUCAGUAUGAAAAACUAUAUAAUGGAUAAUGAGCAAGUUUAUCCAAGACUGAUUUGUUUGGUAUUCUUUUUUAAGAUGUUUCAAUAUUCUACUGAAGAUAUAUGCAAUAUUGGUGCAGAUUUAAGAGUAUAUGUUGGAGGUAAAAGAGUAAAAAUAGAUAAUGACAAGUGUUCUAUUAUAUUUCUUUUUUUCAAUAUCUAUUGUUGUUUAUAUCAGAUAAAAACGAUGCAAAAUCACUCUGCGAUGCUGGAAAUUUAUGUCACGAAACUGGAUAUGGUUGCUAUUUGUCAAAGAAUGAAUUUCCGGGUUUUAAAAAGUAUAAGGAUAAUUGGGAUUGUUCUGGCUCGGAUAUAAUUGAUGAACAGAAAGGGUCAAUUGAAGAUUGUCUAUAUCAUUGUGAUCUUGUUAGCAACUGUAUGGCUGUCCUGACAAGUACUACUAAUCAUUGUUGGCUAAAACACCAAUGUGAAAAUUACCAGCAGUUAGUGAAUUAUGGGGUUCAUCAUAAUUUAAUUGACAAUCAAUUAAGCUGCUUCAUUGGAGGUAUGGAUCAAUCAGUUGAUUCAGUUUAUACAACUGCCGAAAAAACACAAGCUAUUACUUAUGCUGUUGCAAAUGAUAAAGUUGUUGUUUUUUCUGCAACAAAUAUAGAACUAAAAACUGGUGAUCUGAAUAACCUGAAUAAAGAAUAUGAUAAAACUACAUGCUUUGCUGGAAAUUUGAUGAUUAAUGAAAUAGAUAAUAUAAAAACAUUUUUGACAAAUCAUGCUAUGUUUGAUAAACAAUUAACCACUUGUAAAACUAUUACAAGCACUCCAUUAAAAAUAAGAUUUCCUUGGCCAACCUCGGGAUCUGCUAAUCAUAAUUUUUCUAUUAGAAUUGAUGGUGAAAAUUUGAAUUGUUAUAAUUCUAGAAUUUUAACUCUGACUGGAAGUAAUAUUAUUGUUUAUGUUCCACUUGAUCACCAAAUAAAUGCAGUAUUUGAAGGAAAUUACCUUUCAUGUGACUUGCAAAGUGUAAAUGCUACAAGUUGCAAUUUCAGUUGUAAUUGUAGAGGUAAGAAAUGCCAAGCUGUCUAUGUAAAUUCUCAAGAUUAUGAAGAAAGAAUGAAGAUAUGCGAAAUAACAAAAAUACUUUAAAUACAACAAGGCAGUUUUGCUAUUUAUCCUAUACAAUUGUCAUUGUAAGUAUAAAUAAUUAAAAUUCAACUUGGUGAUUAUAUUGAUGUUUGAACAAUCAAUAAAUUUACAUAUGUAAAAUGAGUUAGAAAAAGAACUUUUGAAAUAUGAACUAGAAAGGAUAUUUUAUUGAAUUCAUUGUUACACAAUCUUUUAGUUUAUUAAGAAAAUAGCAGAAAAUUCAAAGUUAUAGUUAUAAUAUUCACCCAUUAUUCAAUAUAUUUAACUGAAUAUUAUUAAUAUCUAAUACUUAACUAAUUUAAAAAAAAGCUGACUGUAUACAAGCAAUUAAUACAUCUUGAAGAUAUCUAUACAUUUACUGUUUAUAUUGUAACCACACUGAUGAAACUAGACAAAGAAGAUAAUAAUCUGAUGAUAAUGACUAUAUCAUGAGACGAAGAGUAUAUUGGAGAAAAUAGACAGGAAUUCAAUUCGGUUUUAGAGCCUAAAAUGGAAAAAUGUUUUAUUGGUAGAAGGUAUUGUCUGACAAUCAUCACUCUUGUGCCACUAAAUUCGCAAACUUGUCUUAUAUUGAUAUACUGUACAAUUAUUAAAUCAUUAAAACUGUUGCUAUAGUUGUUUGUCAGGACUAUUGUCAGAUAUUGCAUUCUGUUAUACAAUUAAAGUGGAGAGAUAUCAAAACUUAAAAUAAAUCAAUGAUAAUUCAUAAAUAUUGUAUAGAUUGAUUUAAUACAAAAUCUUUAUAAUAAAGUCUAUAAUUAUUCUUUAAUGAUGACUUUAUGAAGUUACCAAAGAAUAAAAUAUCUUUCUUUUCAUCAUAAAUAUCCUGUAAAACUUGAAGAGACGCCGAUGAAAAGAAAUAUUCUUCUUUUAAAUUGAUUUUCUAAAAAGUGUAUUUACUUGUAUGAAUAGAAAGUAUUUUAUUUGCCUUUAACCUUAAAAAAUAUGAAAUUUUUCAAUAAUCCUCCACUAGUAUAGCCAAAUGAAUGCAUAUAGUUUAAUUGUUUAAUAAGUUCAGAGUAGAUGAUAAUUGAAGAGGAAAAAUUUCUAUUACGCCAAAGGAUAGAUUGAGGACACAAUUUAUUAUAAAAACAAUUACAAAUUGAACAUUCUUUUAUUGCGGAGAAUAUCAUUAAACCUAUAGUAAAGUUGUCUUUAUUAUUUAUACUAACAUUAAAUUAAUGAUUGAACCAACUCUUAAUCCUAUUCUCUCUUCUGAUGUUCUCAUAUUGAUUUUUCCUAUCAAAGAAAGUGACCUAUUAUGUUUAGAAGUUAAAAUUGAAAAAUUUUAAUAAAACUACUCUUUUUCCUGUUUUUCAAAACGUUUAGAAUGAAUUCGAGACCUAAUUUCCAUAUAGAAGAUGACCGUAGAAUGAGUUAAAGAACACCAUAAGUAUAUAAUAAUGAACCAUUUAUGAAUAACAAUUUGAGUUAAACUCGAAGAAUUUGAAUGUUUGUUGAUCAAUACAAUUUCUAAGGUUAAAAGGACAGACACGUAAAGAUAGUAAGAACUGUAACAGAAAGGUAAAAAGAACCUAAAAUGAUGAAUAUCAUCCAUAAGAAGCAUCUUGGAAACGCUACAACUGUAAUAGAAAUAAAGAUAUGUUGACUAUUUCUAUCCCACUUGAAUAUUUUUAAUAAAUAUGCAUUUAUUAAAAAGAUAAUUGAUAGAAUGGAAUGCGGCAAUAGAAAGAUGAUAAUUCUAAUAAUUUUAUAAAAGGAUCUAGAAGAAAGUAUAGUUGUAAUUUGUGUUGGUAAAUAGUUAAAGCACACAUUAGAAUUCCUUGAUUUAUCCUUUUUUUUUAAAAAAAACAAAAUUUUCAGAAAUAAAAAAAAAAUAAAUUUUUGUUAAUUACUUUUUGAAAAAAUUCAAGACAAAUUGAAUAUGUUAAAAAAACAGUUAAAAUUAAAAAAUUUGUAAAGAG
rnacentral:misc_RNA from 1 species